AGUGAACGCUGGCGGCAGGCCUAAUACAUGCAAGUCGAACGGCAGCACAGCAGAGCUUGCUCUGUGGGUGGCGAGUGGCGGACGGGUGAGGAAUACAUGGGAAUCUGCCCAGUCGUGGGGGAUAACGUAGGGAAACUUACGCUAAUACCGCAUGCGCCCUUCGGGGGAAAGCCGGGGACCUUCGGGCCUGGCGCGAUUGGAUGAGCCCAUGUCGGAUUAGCUAGUUGGCGGGGUAAAGGCCCACCAAGGCGACGAUCCGUAGCUGGUCUGAGAGGAUGAUCAGCCCGCCUGGAACUGGGACACGGUCCAGACUCCUACGGGAGGCAGCAGUAGGGAAUAUUGGACAAUGGGCGCAAGCCUGAUCCAGCCAUGCCGCGUGAGUGAAGAAGGCCUUCGGGUUGUAAAGCUCUUUUGUCCGGAAAGAAAAGCAUCCAGUUAAUACCUGGGUGUCCUGACGGUACCGGAAGAAUAAGCACCGGCUAACUUCGUGCCAGCCGCCGCCGUAACAC
rnacentral:rRNA from 1 species